AUGCCCAUCAACCUCUGCCCUUACUUGCUUCUACUUGUAUUAUCUUCAACCCUCAUGAGGCAUUUCAAAGUUAAUCUGCACCAAGGGUACUUAAUCUGGGCAUAAUGAAUGUUUUACCACAAAAGCAGUCCAGGGGGUGAUGAAGAAAAGUUUAAUAAGGUGAGUCGGAUUCAGGGAUUUCAGGAAGCAAGGAAUGGAUGAUCUCAAGAUGAAUAAGGGACAGGACAAAUGCUUAGGAGCACAGACUAGAACAUCAGACCGGGCAAACAUUACAAAUGACCAGGACAGACCGACGACAGCGGGGCAGGAGUUCAGUCUUGCUGAAGAAGAGCUCCGGGUUGCACCUAUAGUCUAGCUGCAGUUCAACCACUGUCAUAACCCUGGCUCCUGGCCUCAGCAACAGGGAAGGACCAGUCACCUCGGAGGUUCCCAGGCUCCAGGCAGGUUCGUGGAGCGUCCCGGAGGCCUCCCACCUCGCAGGGACGCCAGCCCGGCUCGGGCUUCCCCGACACCCGGCCCCACAGGCCUAAAAAUAGGCUCUGCGCGGCGGCCAGGGCCGGGGCGGGCGGCCGAGGAGCCGGGCCGGGGGUCCCCGGGGUCCCCGGGGCUGCUGCGGCGGAGGCGGCCGGUCCCCGCGAUCGGGCCCCACUCCGGACCCCAGCUCCGCGUCCCCGCCCCGACCCCGCCGCCGCCCGCCCGCCCUUCACGGUGACAGCAGGAGGAGGCGACGAUACGGAAGCGGGGACGGGGGCUCAGCGGGGUCCAGAUGGCUCCCGGCCGCCCCGCUCCCGAGCCCCGGGCCCCGUCCCCGCCCCGCGGCGGGUACCUGUCAUGGUGCUGCCGGGCGGGCGCCAACGGGACGCGCAGGCCGAGGGAGCACAGCCGGCGAGCAGCGCAGCACGGCCGCCCGGGCCUCUUAUAGCCGCCGUCACGUGGCUGCCGCGCCCGGGCCUGGGCCUGCCCUGCGGGCCCUUCCCGUCCCCCUGAGCCCUGAGCCAAGAGCUGCCGGGGACCUCGGGUGGACAGUGGCAUCUAACUCCAAAGAAGCCGAGGGUCGCACCCAGAUCACUGUAGUUAUAACUCGCCUGAGCUGCUUGAAUUGAACUUAAACUUUAACUCCACUUUUUCACCUGGAAUUUCACAUCAGCCUCUGGAAUCAUUCCUGUGUGCUCACAGUGGUUUUGUAGACUUAACCGAAAGGUACAAUGAAUAGCUGGUAAGAAUUGUUUAGAUUCUCGGAGCCAUCUGUAUCAAUUGGAUAUUUAAGUGCUUCGUUUAAUUCUCUGUUGGGAAAAUAUGGAAAAAAAUGGUCAGGGUCCCUCGUAUGUUCGGAGUCUUGCCGAGCGUCUGAGGAAGAAGAAGCGUCUGUGGUCUAUCACUUUUGAGUAUUUUGGCCAACAACUUGGCAUCUUGGGAAUUUAUCCAGCAUGCUUUUCAGAAGUAUUCAGAGACCCUUCUAGAAGAAAGCAAAGUCAAGAAUAUUAAAGAUUUAUGCCUCUUGUGUAAUUUGGCUGCAAGAAACAAAGCCAGUUUCUGCUCAGCACCUAAGAUGAACUGAAAACUGAAAAUAAACACAUGGAUAAUUAAUAAAUAUGUAUA